CACGUAGGGCGCAAGCGUUGUCCGGAAUUAUUGGGCGUAAAGAGCUUGUAGGCGGUCUGUCGCGUCUGCUGUGAAAAUCCGGGGCUCAACCCCGGACUUGCAGUGGGUACGGGCAGACUAGAGUGUGGUAGGGGAGACUGGAAUUCCUGGUGUAGCGGUGAAAUGCGCAGAUAUCAGGAGGAACACCGAUGCGAAGGCAGGUCUCUGGGCCACUACUGACGUGAGAAGCGAAAGCUGGGGAGCGAACAGG
rnacentral:rRNA from 1 species